AGCAUAUAUGAAUGUUUGGAGUGGUGAGUUUAAUCUAUUACCACAUGAAGAUUAUUAGAUGCAUACACGUAUGUUCAAAUAUAUUUCUGAUCAUCAUCAUUUGAGACCCAAACAGAAUGGCAGACCAAAGACAACAAGUCUGCAAAAUGAGAUGGAUGAUAGGCAAAUAAGAAAUAAGAAUCACUGUGGUAUUUGUAAAGAACAGGGUCA
rnacentral:lncRNA from 1 species